GCCAUUCUGACUCCGCCCCUUUGCAGCUGCACAUGAAGCCGCUCUGGUCAGAUUGUAAUCAGAGUUUGGAGGCUCGGCUUCACCACCAACUUAUAAAGAUCAGAACAGUUCUGCCUCAGCGAUGGGUCUCCUUCUGCUCCUGCUGUCGGUCCUGAACUUGUGGCUUCGAGGGUUUUGUCAAGAUGUGAUCCAGAAUCCAGAGAUCCGCUGGAGUUCUGCCUCUCGGUCUGCAGAGAUGACCUGCAGACACACCAAAGACAAAGGUCACAACCAGAUGUACUGGUUCAGGCAGCGUCCGGGCGAGGCCAUGACCCUCGUGGCGUACAUCGCGUUUGGCGGGACGCCGGACUACGGCGGGGGCCCUCAAACCAAAUUUUCGGUCGUCAAAGAGAGCAUUGAGGAGGGGGCUCUGACCGUGAAGGACCUGCAGCCCGACGACGCCGGUCGGUACUUCUGCGCCGUCAGCAAACACAGUGAUGCGAGGAGUCAGAGAGGCUGAACAAAAACUCAGGUGAGCCCCUC